rnacentral:rRNA from 1 species
UACGUAGGGGGCGAGCGUUGUCCGGAUUUAUUGGGCGUAAAGAGCUCGUAGGCGGCUUGGCAAGUCGGGUGUGAAACCUCCAGGCUCAACCUGGAGACGCCACUCGAUACUGCUAUGGCUAGAGUCCGGUAGGGGACCACGGAAUUCCUGGUGUAGCGGUGAAAUGCGCAGAUAUCAGGAGGAACACCGAUUGCGAAGGCAGCUCGCUGGAACGUUACUGACGCUGAGACGCGAAAGCGUGGGGAGCAAACAGG